UAUAGUGACUUGCAAUAAUAUAAUUAUUUUUUUAUAAUCGCUUUUACUAUUUUAGAUACCGUUUGGUUCCGGUAUAAGCAAGAACUAACUAUUAUAGGGAUAUGUACAAGUAUGGGGAUAAGAAAAAUAGUGUUUGGAUAAAAAUUAGGCUGUUCCCGGGGAUAAGAACAAUUUUAGAUAGUUUUAUAUAGAAAAUGAGAGAUGUUGGUUCCUUAAUAU
rnacentral:lncRNA from 1 species